rnacentral:misc_RNA from 1 species
CCGAGCGUGACCCCCCUGUAUAUUUAAGGGGGGUGCCUCCCGUCCUUUGCAGGCCCUUAGGGGCUGUCAGACUUUGCUUCGGCGGGGUUGCCCCGCCGGAACACCCUCAAGAAAAUCUCGAAAAAACCGUUCCGUCCGAGCGUUGCGAUAAUAAACAAA